AUUGAACGCUGGCGGCAGGCCUAACACAUGCAAGUCGAGCGAGGGGCGGACGGGUGAGGAAUGGAAGGGGACUGCUCGAGAGAGGGGGAUAACUACUGGAAACGGUGGCUAAUACCGCGUACUGUUGGAUAAGCCAUAUGGGAUUAGCUAGUUGGUAAGGUAAUGGCCUACCUAGGCGACGAUACCUAGCUGGUCUGAGAGGAUGAUCAGCAACACUGGAACUGAGACACGGCCCAGACUCCUACGGAGGCAGCAGUGGGGAAUAUUGCACAAUGGGCGAAAGCCUGAUGCAGCCAUGCCGCGUGUAUGAAGAAGGUCUUAGGAUUGUAAAGUACUUUCAGUCGGGAGGCGUUACCAACAGAAGAAGCACCGGCUAACUCCGUGCCAGCCGCCGCGGUAAUAC
rnacentral:rRNA from 1 species